AGAAUUCUUCAGUGGGAAAGGAAUGCUUCACCCAGAAUGAAUGGCAAAUUGCACGUCACAAUGGAGUAGAAGAAAAGCCAUAAUGGAAGUUCAGAUCAUGACCUUCUACUCUGAGAGAACAAAGUCAGGGAGGAAUAAGAUCAUCUCCUACAGCAAGGUAAAAGACUUCGAAGGUUUUCCUACAGUCUACAUCAGUAGCAAUCAGAUUCUAUUAAUGUGGGAGUGAGGUUUGUGACUUGGCCAGUGAAAAAGCUCAGAAGUCUUCCAGAUGCAGGAAUCAGCUUUGGAAAUACACUGAGCUGUUUCUUAAGUAUGUCUCUUUUGCUUGCUUGGGAGGGGGCAGGAGGGAACGACAAGACAUAGGCUUUGUGCAUGUAGAUUAUGAAUGUGAUAGCCCUGGGAUUUCUUCUAUUGUAAAUUACACCUUCUUCCCUAAUUCCAUGGCAUUUCCCUUAUCCAAGAGCUUUUUCUUAAAAAUACUGUCAUUCUCAUGAACUUUACUGCCCUCCUGGCCAACUUGUACCUGUUAUUGGCUUCUACAAAAUCUGAGAGAUUUCUCUUAUGUCCAUUUCCAUCAUGUAUUUUCAAAAUACUUGAAUGUGACUUCCAGUGAGUUGUGUUUUAUGCCACUUAAAUAAACACUUUGUUCUUUCCAUUCAACUCUGGUAACUUGAUACCACACAAUAAAUGUUAAUAAAGUUCCUGCAGAGUAGUGCUCUUUAGACAGCUUAUUUUUCUUCCUUCCUUUCAUGUUGUGCCCUUAUUGAUGACUCAGUCCAUAUCACAAAUGUUCCUAAAGAAGAUAAAAUGUAAAUAAAAGUGAAAGAUGCUGGUCAGAUAAGGCACUCGGAAGGACACAGGAAAUGCUUCCUAAAGAAAAUGUUUUUCUCUCUCCAA